AUUGAACGCUGGCGGCAGGCCUAACACAUGCAAGUCGAACGGUAGCACAGAGAGCUUGCUCUCGGGUGACGAGUGGCGGACGGGUGAGUAAUGUCUGGGAAGCUGCCCGAUGGAGGGGGAUAACUACUGGAAACGGUAACUAAUACCGCAUAACGUCUUCGGACCAAAGUGGGGGACCUUCGGGCCUCACACCAUCGGAUGUGCGCAGAUGGGAUUAGCUAGUAGGUGGGGUAAUGGCUCACCUAGGCGACGAUCCCUAGCUGGUCUGAGAGGAUGACCAGCCACACUGGAACUGAGACACGGUCCAGACUCCUACGGGAGGCAGCAGUGGGGAAUAUUGCACAAUGGGCGCAAGCCUGAUGCAGCCAUGCCGCGUGUAUGAAGAAGGCCUUCGGGUUGUAAAGUACUUUCAGCGGGGAGGAAGGCGUUAAGGUUAAUAACCUUGGCGAUUGACGUUACCCGCAGAAGAAGCACCGGCUAACUCCGUGCCAGCCGCCGCCGUAAGAC
rnacentral:rRNA from 1 species